rnacentral:rRNA from 1 species
UACAGAGGGGGCAAGCGUUGUUCGGAAUUACUGGGCGUAAAGGGCGCGUAGGCGGCCUGCUAAGUCGAACGUGAAAUCCCUGGGCUCAACCCAGGAACUGCGUCCGAUACUGGUUGGCUUGAAUCCGGGAGAGGGAUGUGGAAUUCCAGGUGUAGCGGUGAAAUGCGUAGAUAUCUGGAGGAACACCGGUGGCGAAGGCGGCAUCCUGGACCAAUACUGACGCUGAGGAGCGAAAGCCAGGGGAGCGAACAGG